UACACGACCGUACCGCAAACCGACACUGGUGCGCGAGAUGAGUAUUCUAAGGCGCUUGAGAGAACUCAGGAGAAGGAACUCGGCAAAUUGACACCGUAACUUCGGAAGAAGGUGUGCCUUUAGUAGGUGAACCUGUACAAGGGGAGCCCAAUGAGGUUGCAAAAAAUCGGUGGCUGCGACUGUUUAAUAAAAACACAGCACUCUGCAAACACGAAAGUGGACGUAUAGGGUGUGACGCCUGCCCGGUGCUGGAAGAUUAAAUGAUGGGGUGCAAGCUCUUGAUUGAAGUCCCAGUAAACGGCGGCCGUAACAAUAACGGUCCUAAGGUAGCGAAAUUCCUUGUCGGGUAAGUUCCGACCUGCACGAAUGGCGUAACGAUGGCCACACUGUCUCCUCCUGAGACUCAGCGAAGUUGAAAUGUUUGUGAUGAUGCAAUCUCCCCGCGGAAAGACGGAAAGACCCCAUGAACCUUUACUGUAGCUUUGUAUUGGACUUUGAACAGAUCUGUGUAGGAUAGGUGGGAGGCUUUGAAGUGCGGUCGCUAGAUCGCAUGGAGCCAACGUUGAAAUACCACCCUGGUGUGUUUGAGGUUCUAACCUAGGCCCGUAAUCCGGGUCGGGGACAGUGCAUGGUAGGCAGUUUGACUGGGGCGGUCUCCUCCCAAAGCGUAACGGAGGAGUUCGAAGGUACGCUAGGUACGGUCGGACAUCGUGCUAAUAGUGCAAUGGCAUAAGCGUGCUUAACUGCGAGACUGACAAGUCGAGCAGAUGCGAAAGCAGGACAUAGUGAUCCGGUGGUUCUGUAUGGAAGGGCCAUCGCUCAACGGAUAAAAGGUACUCUGGGGAUAACAGGCUGAUACCGCCCAAGAGUUCAUAUCGACGGCGGUGUUUGGCACCUCGAUGUCGGCUCAUCUCAUCCUGGGGCUGUAGCCGGUCCCAAGGGUAUGGCUGUUCGCCAUUUAAAGAGGUACGUGAGCUGGGUUUAAAACGUCGUGAGACAGUUUGGUCCCUAUCUUCCGUGGGCGCUGCAGAUUUGAGGAAGCCUGCUCCUAGUACGAGAGGACCGGAGUGGACACACCUCUGGUGUAUCGGUUGUCACGCCAGUGGCAUUGCCGAGUAGCUAUGUGUGGAAGAGAUAACCGCUGAAAGCAUCUAAGCGGGAAACUCGUUUCAAGAUGAGAUCUGCCGGGGCCUUGAGCCCCCUAAAGAGUCGUUCAAGACCAGGACGUUGAUAGGUCGGGUGUGGAAGCGCAGUAAUGCGUUAAGCUAACCGAUACUAAUUGCUCGUGCGGCUUGACC
rnacentral:rRNA from 1 species